rnacentral:rRNA from 1 species
UACGGGGGGGGCAAGCGUUGUUCGGAAUUACUGGGCGUAAAGGGCUCGUAGGCGGCCAACUAAGUCGGAUGUGAAAUCCCCAGGCUCAACCUGGGAACUGCAUCCGAUACUGGAUGGCUUGAAUUCGGGAGAGGGAUGCAGAAUUCCAGGUGUAGCGGUGAAAUGCGUAGAUAUUUGGAGGAACACCGGUGGCGAAGGCGGCAUCCCGGACCGAGAUUGACGCUGAGGCGCGAAAGCCAGGGGAGCAAACGGG